CCUACGGGUGGCAGCAGUGGGGAAUCUUGCGCAAUGGGCGAAAGCCUGACGCAGCGACGCCGCGUGAGGGAUGAAGGUCUUCGGAUCGUAAACCUCUGUCAGUCGGGAAGAACGGUCACUGUGCUAAUCAGCAGUGAAUUGACGGUACCUGCACAGGAAGCACCGGCUAACUCCGUGCCCGCAGCCGCGGUAAGACGGAGGGUGCGAGCGUUAAGCGUAAUUACUGGGCGUAAAGCGCUCUUAGGCGGUACGUAAAGUCAAGGGUGAAAUCCCCGGGCUCAACGUGGGAACGGCCUUUGAAACUGGCAAACUGGAGGGUGUAAGAGGAGAGUGGAAUUCCAGGUGUAGGGGUGAAAUGCGUAGAUAUAUGGAGGAACAUCAGUGGCGAAGGCGACUAUCUGGCACAUAACUGACGCUGAGGAGCGAAAGCGUGGGUAGCAAACAGGAUUAGAUACCCUUGUAGUC
rnacentral:rRNA from 1 species